rnacentral:rRNA from 1 species
GAAUUUUGGACAAUGGGCGAAAGCCUGAUCCAGCAAUGCCGCGUGCAGGAUGAAGGCCUUCGGGUUGUAAACUGCUUUUGUACGGAACGAAACACUUUUGGUUAAUCCCCUGGAGUCAUGACGGUACCGUAAGAAUAAGCACCGGCUAACUACGUGCCCUACGCCGCGGUAAUACGGAGGGUGCAAGCGUUAAUCGGAAUUACUGGGAGUAAAGCGUGCGCAGGCGGUGUUGUAAGACAGAGGUGAAAUCCCCGGGCUCAACCUGGGUACUGCCUUUGUGACUGCAAGGCUAGAGUACAGCAGAGGGGGGUGGAAUUCCGCGUGUAGCAGUGAGAUGCGUAGAUAUGCGGAGGAACACCGAUGGCGAAGGCAACCCCCUGGGCCUGUACUGACGCUCAUGCACGAAAGCGUGGGGAGCAAAC